rnacentral:rRNA from 1 species
GGGUUGUGAGGUUAAGCGACUAAGCGUACACGGUGGAUGCCUAGGCAGUCAGAGGCGAUGAAGGGCGUGCUAAUCUGCGAAAAGCGUCGGUAAGGUGAUAUGAACCGUUACAACCGACGAUACCCGAAUGGGGGAAACCCAGUGCAAUUCGUUGCACUAUUGCAUGGUGAAUACAUAGCCAUGCAAGGCGAACCGGGGGAACUGAAACAUCUAAGUACCCCGAGGAAAAGAAAUCAACCGAGAUUCCCCCAGUAGCGGCGAGCGAACGGGGAGGAGCCCAGAGUCUGAAUCAGUUUGUGUGUUAGUGGAAGCGUCUGGAAAGUCGCAGGGUACAGGGUGAUACUCCCGUACACAAAAACACACUUGCUGUGAACUCGAUGAGUAGGGCGGGACACGUGACAUCCUGUCUGAAUAUGGGGGGGACCAUCCUCCAAGGCUAAAUACUCCUGACUGACCGAUAGUGAACCAGUACCGUGAGGGAAAGGCGAAAAGAACCCCGGCGAGGGGAGUGAAAUAGAACCUGAAACCGUGUACGUACAAGCAGUGGGAGCACCUUCGUGGUGUGACUGCGUACCUUUUGUAUAAUGGGUCAGCGACUUAUAUUUUGUAGCAAGGUUAACCGAAUAGGGGAGCCGUAGGGAAACCGAGUCUUAACUGGGCGUCUAGUUGCAAGGUAUAGACCCGAAACCCGGUGAUCUAGCCAUGGGCAGGUUGAAGGUUGGGUAACACUAACUGGAGGACCGAACCGACUAAUGUUGAAAAAUUAGCGGAUGACUUGUGGCUGGGGGUGAAAGGCCAAUCAAACCGGGAGAUAGCUGGUUCUCCCCGAAAGCUAUUUAGGUAGCGCCUCGUGAACUCAUCUUCGGGGGUAGAGCACUGUUUCGGCUAGGGGGUCAUCCCGACUUACCAAACCGAUGCAAACUCCGAAUACCGAAGAAUGUUAUCACGGGAGACACACGGCGGGUGCUAACGUCCGUCGUGAAGAGGGAAACAACCCAGACCGCCAGCUAAGGUCCCAAAGUCAUGGUUAAGUGGGAAACGAUGUGGGAAGGCAUAGACAGCCAGGAUGUUGGCUUAGAAGCAGCCAUCAUUUAAAGAAAGCGUAAUAGCUCACUGGUCGAGUCGGCCUGCGCGGAAGAUGUAACGGGGCUAAACCAUGCACCGAAGCUGCGGCAGCGACACUUAGGUGUUGUUGGGUAGGGGAGCGUUCUGUAAGCCGUUGAAGGUGACCUGUGAGGGUUGCUGGAGGUAUCAGAAGUGCGAAUGCUGACAUAAGUAACGAUAAUGCGGGUGAAAAGCCCGCACGCCGGAAGACCAAGGGUUCCUGUCCAACGUUAAUCGGGGCAGGGUGAGUCGACCCCUAAGGCGAGGCUGAAAAGCGUAGUCGAUGGGAAACAGGUUAAUAUUCCUGUACUUAGUGUUACUGCGAAGGGGGGACGGAGAAGGCUAGGCUAGCCGGGCGACGGUUGUCCCGGUUUAAGCAUGUAGGCGGAGUGACUUGGUAAAUCCGGUUGCUUAUCAACGCUGAGGUGUGAUGACGAGUCACUACGGUGAUGAAGUAGUUGAUGCCAAGCUUCCAGGAAAAGCCUCUAAGCAUCAGGUAACAUUAAAUCGUACCCCAAACCGACACAGGUGGUCAGGUAGAGAAUACUCAGGCGCUUGAGAGAACUCGGGUGAAGGAACUAGGCAAAAUGGUGCCGUAACUUCGGGAGAAGGCACGCUGGCAUUAGGUAAAGAGACUUGCUCUCGGCGCCGAAGCCAGUCGCAGAUACCAGCUGGCUGCAACUGUUUAAUAAAAACACAGCACUGUGCAAACACGAAAGUGGACGUAUACGGUGUGACGCCUGCCCGGUGCUGGAAGGUUAAUUGAUGGGGUCAGCCGCAAGGCGAAGCUCUUGAUCGAAGCCCCAGUAAACGGCGGCCGUAACUAUAACGGUCCUAAGGUAGCGAAAUUCCUUGUCGGGUAAGUUCCGACCUGCACGAAUGGCGUAAUGAUGGCCAGGCUGUCUCCACCCGAGACUCAGUGAAAUUGAACUCGCUGUGAAGAUGCAGUGUACCCGCGGCAAGACGGAAAGACCCCGUGAACCUUUACUAUAGCUUGACACUGAACAUUGAGCCUUGAUGUGUAGGAUAGGUGGGAGGCAUCGAAGCGUGGACGCCAGUCUGCGUGGAGCCAACCUUGAAAUACCACCCUUUAAUGUUUGAUGUUCUAACUCGGCCCCGUAAUCCGGGGUGAGGACAGUGUCUGGUGGGUAGUUUGACUGGGGCGGUCUCCUCCCAAAGAGUAACGGAGGAGCACGAAGGUUAGCUAAUCACGGUCGGACAUCGUGAGGUUAGUGCAAAGGCAUAAGCUAGCUUGACUGCGAGAGUGACGGCUCGAGCAGGUACGAAAGUAGGUCUUAGUGAUCCGGUGGUUCUGAAUGGAAGGGCCAUCGCUCAACGGAUAAAAGGUACUCCGGGGAUAACAGGCUGAUACCGCCCAAGAGUUCAUAUCGACGGCGGUGUUUGGCACCUCGAUGUCGGCUCAUCACAUCCUGGGGCUGAAGUAGGUCCCAAGGGUAUGGCUGUUCGCCAUUUAAAGUGGUACGCGAGCUGGGUUUAGAACGUCGUGAGACAGUUCGGUCCCUAUCUGCCGUGGGCGUUGGAAGAUUGAGAGGGGCUGCUCCUAGUACGAGAGGACCGGAGUGGACGAAUCACUGGUGUUCGGGUUGUCAUGCCAAUGGCAUUGCCCGGUAGCUAAAUUCGGAAGAGAUAACCGCUGAAAGCAUCUAAGCGGGAAACUUGCCUCGAGAUGAGUCUUCCCUGGGGCUUUAAGCCCCCUGAAGGAACGUUAAAGACUAUGACGUUGAUAGGCUGGGUGUGUAAGUGCAGCGAUGCAUUGAGCUAACCAGUACUAAUGAUCCGUGAGGCUUAACCUUACAACACCGAAGGUGUUU